rnacentral:rRNA from 1 species
GAUGAACGCUGGCGGCGUGCCUAAUACAUGCAAGUCGAGCGAACAGACGAGGAGCUUGCUCCUCUGACGUUAGCGGCGGACGGGUGAGUAACACGUGGAUAACCUACCUAUAAGACUGGGAUAACUUCGGGAAACCGGAGCUAAUACCGGAUAAUAUAUUGAACCGCAUGGUUCAAUAGUGAAAGACGGUUUUGCUGUCACUUAUAGAUGGAUCCGCGCCGCAUUAGCUAGUUGGUAAGGUAACGGCUUACCAAGGCAACGAUGCGUAGCCGACCUGAGAGGGUGAUGCGCCACACAGGAACUGAGGCACGGUCCAGACUCCUAGGGGAGGCAGCAGUAGGGAAUCUUCCGCAAUGAGCGAAAGCCUGACGAGGCAACGCCGCGUGAGUAAUGAAGGUCUUCGCAUCGUAAAACUCUGUUAUUAGGAAAGAACAAAUGUGGAAGUAACUAUGCACGUCUUGACGGUACAUAAUCAGAAAGACACGGCUAACUACGUG